rnacentral:rRNA from 1 species
GUGAGGAAUAUUGGUCAAUGGGCGAGAGCCUGAACCAGCCAAGUCGCGUGAAGGAAGAAGGAUCUAUGGUUCGUAAACUUCUUUUGCAGGGGAAUAAAGUGCGGGACGUGUCCUGUUUUGUAUGUACCCUGAGAAUAAGGAUCGGCUAACUCCGUGCCAGCAGCCGCGGUAAUACGGAGGAUCCGAGCGUUAUCCGGAUUUAUUGGGUUUAAAGGGUGCGUAGGUGGUUUGAUAAGUCAGCGGUGAAAGUGUGCAGCUUAACUGUAAAAAUGCCGUUGAAACUGUCGGACUUGAGUGUAAAUGAGGUAGGCGGAAUGCGUGGUGUAGCGGUGAAAUGCAUAGAUAUCACGCAGAACUCCGAUUGCGAAGGCAGCUUACUAAGCUACAACUGACACUGAAGCACGAAAGCGUGGGGAUCAAACAGGAUUAGAAACCCGAGUAGUCC